UACAGAGGUCUCAAGCGUUGUUCGGAAUCACCGGGCGUAAAGCGUGCGUAGGCUGUUUCGUAAGUCGUGUGUGAAAGGCGCGGGCUCAACCCGCGGACGGCACAUGAUACUGCGAGACUAGAGUAAUGGAGGGGGAACCGGAAUUCUCGGUGUAGCAGUGAAAUGCGUAGAUAUCGAGAGGAACACUCGUGGCGAAGGCGGGUUCCUGGACAUUAACUGACGCUGAGGCACGAAGGCCAGGGGAGCGAAAGGG
rnacentral:rRNA from 1 species